rnacentral:rRNA from 1 species
AACCUUUACACUGCACGACAGUGCGAUAAGGGAAUCCCAAGUGCGUAGGCAUAGAGCCUACGCUUUUGUCCACCGUAGGGAGGUGGACGAAUAAGGGCUGGGCAAGACCGGUGCCAGCCGCCGCGGUAAUACCGGCAGCCCGAGUGAUGGCCGAUCUUAUUGGGCCUAAAGCGUCCGUAGCUGGCCGCACAAGUCCAUCGGAAAAUCCACCCGCUCAACGCGUGGGCGUCCAGCGAAUACUGUUCGGCUUGGGGCCGGAAGACUCAAGGGGUACGUCCGGGGUAGGAGUGAAAUCCCGUAAUCCUGGACGGACCACCGAUGGCGAAAGCACCUUGAGAGGACGGACCCGACGGUGAGGGACGAAAGCCAGGGUCUCGAACCGGAUUAGAUACCCGGGUAGUCCCAGCUGUCAACGAUGCCCGCUAGGUAUGGCGCAGGCUACGAGCCUGUGCUAUGCCGUAGCGAAGGCGCUAAGCGGGCCGCCUGGGAAGUACGUUCGCAAGAAUGAAACUUAA